rnacentral:tRNA from 1 species
GGCACUUUAGUGUAGAGGUUUAGCACGUCGAUUCUGACUGUAAGAAGCGUUUCGGAUUCCUGGGUUCGACUCCCAGAAGAGCCU